rnacentral:rRNA from 1 species
GAUCCUGGCUCAGAAUCAACGCUGGCGGCGCGCUUAACACAUGCAAGUCGAGCGAGAAAGGGGAGCAAUCCCUGAGUACAGCGGCGUACGGGUGAGUAACACGUGGAUGAUCUACCUUUUAGUGGGGAAUAACCCUGGGAAACCGGGGCUAAUACCGCAUAAGCCUGAGAAGGGAAAGCGAGUAAUCGCGCUGAAAGAGGAGUCCGCGGCCGAUUAGCUAGUUGGUGAGGUAAUGGCUCACCAAGGCGGUGAUCGGUAGCCGGCCUGAGAGGGCACACGGCCACACUGGCACUGAAACACGGGCCAGACUCCUACGGGAGGCAGCAGUGGGGAAUCUUGCACAAUGGAGGCAACUCUGAUGCAGCGACGCCGCGUGAGCGAUGAAGCCCUUCGGGGUGUAAAGCUCUUUCGGCAGGGACGAUAAUGACGGUACCUGAAGAAGAAGCUGCGGCUAACUACGUGCCAGCAGCCGCGGUAAUACGUAGGCAGCGAGCGUUGUUCGGAAUUACUGGGCGUAAAGAGUGUGUAGGCGGUGCUCUAAGUUCGGUGUGAAAUCUCCUGGCUCAACUGGGAGGGUGCGCCGGAAACUGGAGUGCUUGAGCGUGGGAGAGGAAAGCGGAAUUCCUGGUGUAGCGGUGAAAUGCGUAGAUAUCAGGAGGAACACCUGUGGUGUAGACGGCUUUCUGGACC